UACGUAGGGUGCAAGCGUUGUCCGGAAUUAUUGGGCGUAAAGAGCUCGUAGGCGGUUUGUCGCGUCUGCUGUGAAAACCCGAGGCUCAACCUCGGGCCUGCAGUGGGUACGGGCAGACUAGAGUGCGGUAGGGGAGAUCGGAAUUCCUGGUGUAGCGGUGAAAUGCGCAGAUAUCAGGAGGAACACCGGUGGCGAAGGCGGAUCUCUGGGCCUUACCUGACGCUCAGGUGCGAAAGCUAGGGGAGCGAACAGG
rnacentral:rRNA from 1 species